GAAUUUUGGACAAUGGGCGAAAGCCUGAUCCAGCAAUGCCGCGUGCAGGAUGAAGGCCUUCGGGCUGUAAACUCCUUUUGUACGGAACGAAAAGCUUUGGGUUAAUACCCUGGAGUCAUGACGGUGACGAAAGAAUAAGCACUGGCUAACCACGUACCAGCAGCCGCGGGAAUACGUAGGGUGCAAGCGUUAAUCGGCAUUAGCGGGCGUAAAGCGUGCGCAGGCGGUUUUGUAAGACAGAGGUGAAAUCCCCGGGCUCAACCUGGGAACUGCCUUUGUGACUGCAAGGCUAGAGUACGGCAGAGGGGGGUGGAAUUCCGCGUGUAGCAGUGAAAUGCGUAGAUAUGCGGAGGAACACCGAUGGCGAAGGCAACCCCCUGGGCCUGUACUGACGCUCAUGCACGAAAGCGUGGGGAGCAAACA
rnacentral:rRNA from 1 species